UUUCUCUAGAUCUAGAUCUGGAGCAAACAUCAAUGAAAUUGAAAACACGCAGUGAUGAACACCGAUUUGAAGAAACCCUAACUGAAGGUAACCAGCCGGAGCCGAUUUUGAUGUUUAUAACUGGCCUUAUAGGAUGUUCUUGGCUUUUAAAAUCGAUAAACAAAUCGAAGCUAUUAGGAUGUUCUGUUUGAUUCUGUCCAAGCUGUUGAUUUCAAAACAUAAUGUAUGAUGUUUUUCCCUAAUUUUAUCCCCAAAUUUGUUAUGAUGGCUGUUCUUUCACUUCUGUUGCUUCAAUCGCGGCUUCUCCUUCAUUCCAGAAGUUUUAUGAGCAUUUGUCAAGCAAGGCGCGAAUAAGGCUCAGGAGUCCUUUACAAUCUGCAUACAAUGAAGAUUUUGGCGAUCUAGGGCUUAAACAAGCUUUUUUGAUUUUGGUAAGAACUGAUACUUGUUUUUAUUUGUUUUCCCUUUUUUUGAUUUUUGCAGAAGUUUUAUGAGCAUUUGUCAAGCAAGGCGCGAAUAAGGCCCAGGAGUCCUUUACAAUCUGCAUACAAUGAAGACCUUGGCCAACGGCUACAGGCAAAGCUUCUAGCUGCUGAACAGAAAAGGUUGGAUGUUAUCGGACCAGACUGGUAGAGUAAAGAGCUUUAAACUAAGGGCUGGUCGAAUUUGUGUGCAUGUUGGCAUGCUUUUAGCAACCUGUGGAGAGGAUUUAGGACUGUGUUGGCUUCUUCGGGUCUUGGUGAAAGCUUGGUCAACACGAAGAGCGCGGCGGGUCAAAUAAGGGUCAACCGAGUCAAGUCAGAUAUGGGAAGGUGUGGUAGAAGCUCUUAAAUGGCCUCUUGAUCACCCGUUAACAAUCAAGAUGCUUCUUUUUGCUAUGUCGGUGAAUUGCCUUGACCCAGCUACCAGCUUUGAUUUUAGCUUGUGCAAAGGACUCUAGAGAGCCUUUCGUCAACCCAAUGUCAUCUGAUGGUAAAACGAAAGCGAAUGAUGCUAAAUCUCAGCUACUGGCAUCAUUAUAUGGCGGCCAUGGUGAUCAAUUGGCAACAAUAGCAGCUUUUGAGUGAUGGAAAAACACCAAACAAAUAGCUGAUGAUAGCAAUUGGCAUGUAUGUAAUCUGUUGUAAGUUUAGUUUAUAUACUUAUUCCCUGGCGGACACUAGCUCUUAUUGGGCAAGAAAAGGAGAGAUACAAUUUGUAUUGCACUUGCUGAUGACACCUGUGAAGAACCAAAGAUUAGGAUGAGUAGGGUUGUCAGGUCAAUUUUGAGGGUUAGACUUGGCGAUGUGGUUUCGUUGCAUCAGUAUGGGAAGCGCGUUCACAUCCUUCCGAUUGACGAUACGAUUGAAGGAGUUGCUGGGAAUCUCGUACUUUUUGGAAGCGUACCGCCCGGUGGGUGACUACUUUUUGGUAAGGGGAGAGAUCAUGUCGAAAAUGGCUGGGGGUACUCCAAGAACCGUUGGAUCAAAAAAAGAUAGUGCAGGUUCGACCAUUAACGAACCACCAGCUUGCUUUGGCUGGACGAAGUUAAAGUUAGGAACCCCGACAUAGCUCAGGGUAAAGUUCUCUGGCCAACAGCUUCCCCUGGUUAAUCACGGCUAGCCACGUUGCACUCUCCUUUGCAGUAAUCUUAUCCUGUAAACACAAGAUGGUUGACGACAUAAAGAAGACGCCGUACUGGUGAAUAAACAACUGGGUGGCAUUAGAAGAAUGGAGUAAAUUUGGUGACACAAAUCUUGGUAUGUAAUGUUCUACUUGUCUAUUUAGUUUUGUUUUUCGGUUGGAUGUUAAGUAGCAUUGGCUCGACCAGUUUGGAGCCAAGCAAAAAGUUAUUUUGACAAGUUUUAUUUCAAGUAUACAUAUAUUUUUUAAAAAUAUUAGUACAUUUUUGGGGACUUUUAAUCCACAUGACCUGUUAUGUUUCAAGUAAUUUUUUUUUUAUAUUUUUGUUUUGAUCCAUCAUGAAUACACCAUAACCCUAAUCAACCCAUUAGUAAGUAAAUGGGACAACAUUUUCACCUAACAUGUUAUCUACAUGAGUGAAACUAACACGUGUGUUUUCAGUAAUUUUUAUAGCAAUAAGAUUUAUGGGACUCUUAAUGUUCUACAAUCGCGUGACCUGUGAGCUUCUUAUUCACGUUGUAUAUAAAUGUUCAUUACUCCAUGAUCUAAAGGAAUCGUUGAUAAUUCGGUGUUUUAUUUUAUGGCGAACUUGGAAGAAAACAUUGCUUGAUUACUCAUUAUCAGCCUUGAGGUGUUUUCCAGAUGUGCAAGAAGCCUGCUUUAAAGCCCCAAGGCGUUUUUCCAAUCGCCUCACGGCUCACGCCUUAGGCGCGGUUUCUAAAACAAAGGUUUAAAUUGUUGAUGACUGGUGACGUGCCGGCCUUUUACUAAUUGUUUUGUUUUUU